rnacentral:rRNA from 1 species
UAACGCGAAGAACCUUACCUGCUCUUGACAUCCCGGUGACCGGCAUGUAAUGAUGCCUUUUCUUCGGAACACCGGUGACAGGUGGUGCAUGGUUGUCGUCAGCUCGUGUCGUGAGAUGUUGGGUUAAGUCCCGCAACGAGCGCAACCCUUAUCUUCAGUAGCCAGCAUUUUGGAUGGGCACUCUGGAGAGACUGCCAGGGAUAACCUGGAGGAAGGUGGGGAUGACGUCAAAUCAUCAUGCCCCUUAUGAGCAGGGCUACACACGUGCUACAAUGGCGUAAACAAAGGGAAGCAAGCCUGCGAGGGUAAGCAAAUCUCAAAAAUAACGUCUCAGUUCGGAUUGUAGUCUGCAACUCGACUACAUGAAGCUGGAAUCGCUAGUAAUCGCGAAUCAGCAUGUCGCGGUGAAUACGUUCCCGGGUCUUGUACACACCGA